AUGGGGCAGCUCUCAGCUCCUGCCCAGGAGCACGAGGAGAUCAGGAGCACGAUGACUUCUUUUUUUUUUUUUUUAACUUCUCCAUAUAAACCAAUAUUUACCAGUAAUCCUGUGUUUCUGUUUUUGUUUUUUGGCAGACUUUUACCAGUAAAUAUCGGUUUAUUCCUGAAACCAGAAGCCCUAAACAUACCUUUGUUUAUAAGUUUUCCUGCUCUGCAUCUCUGGGAACUGGAGCCUGCAGGACCUAGAGCCUUCUGUUGUGCACUGGUGUACCAAGCCUCAGAACCACUGCUUUCUCCAGCUCAUAGGAUGCUUUUCCAAGACUGUGGAUACGUGUAUGUGUACUGCUGUGUUGAUAAGUAAAUGCCAACGGAGUUUGUUGCUUUUAUACAUCCCAAAGAGAAGUUCUCCACCCUUCAUUUUCUGUUUUCUGACCGAAAAAGUGUGUGUUUGUGAACAGUGUUCACGCAAGUUCUGCCAUCCCACUCUCACAUCAGCUUAUACCAAUGCCAGGAUGGGAGGAUUUGCCUGCGUACCUUCCCCAAAACACCCUGGUUCACAGUGGCAUCGUCAGGGAGCAGUUCAAACGCGUGUCCUUUGGGCUUUGUGUAAAGCAAACACAGAACAAGAAAAAUCGAGAUGUUAAAUCCAUUAGAAAACAAAUCCCUUAUUGUACAGUAGUAUGGAGAUAUCUAGUCAACCUGCCAUUAAUAAUAGAUUCUUAUUUUUUGAAUGAUCUAUUUAAAAGAACAGCAAGCAUUGUAUUUGCUAGUAAAUCUGAAGUGUUUACAUGGAAUUACUAAAUAAAUUAUUUGAUCUAAGAUGGCUCUCA
rnacentral:lncRNA from 1 species